UACGUAGGGUGCAAGCGUUAAUCGGAAUUACUGGGCGUAAAGCGUGCGCAGGCGGCUUUGCAAGACAGAUGUGAAAUCCCCGGGCUUAACCUGGGAACUGCAUUUGUGACUGCAAAGCUAGAGUACGGCAGAGGGGGAUGGAAUUCCGCGUGUAGCAGUGAAAUGCGUAGAUAUGCGGAGGAACACCGAUGGCUAAGGCAAUCCCCUGGGCCUGUACUGACGCUCAUGCACGAAAGCGUGGGGAGCAAACAGG
rnacentral:rRNA from 1 species